rnacentral:rRNA from 1 species
GACGAACGCUGGCGGCGUGCCUAAUACAUGCAAGUAGAACGCUGAAGGAGGAGCUUGCUUCUCUGGAUGAGUUGCGAACGGGUGAGUAACGCGUAGGUAACCUGCCUGGUAGCGGGGGAUAACUAUUGGAAACGAUAGCUAAUACCGCAUAAGAGUAGAUGUUGCAUGACAUUUGCUUAAAAGUUGCAAUUGCCUCACUACCAUAUGGACCUGCGUUGUAUUAGCUAGUUGGUGGGGUAACGGCUUACCAAGGCGAAGAUACAUAGCCGACCUGAGAGGGUGAUCGGGCACCCUGGGACUGAGACACGGCCCAGACUCCUACGGGAGGCAGCAGUAGGGAAUCUUUGGAAAUGGACGGAAGUCUGACCGAGCAACGCCGCGGGAGUGAAGAAGGGUUUCGGAUCGUAAAGCUCGGUUGUAAGAGAAGAACGAGUGUGAGAGUGGAAAGUUCACACUGUGACGGUACCUGACCAGAAAGGGACGGCUAACUACGUG